rnacentral:lncRNA from 1 species
UUUGAGCUCAAAUCCGAAUUGUCCAAAAAUAAGAUAAAAGCAUAAGUAGAUAAGGGAUAGAAAGAUGAGGACAAAUCCUCAUCGGUGUCGUCGUCUGAGUCGUCAUGGCUGGCGUGAGGGUCCUGCAGCUGAUGGAGAUCAUGCGCGCACACUCCCUCUCGUAACACAGCGGCACUGUGACACUCUUGCCCAUAUGGCGUGA